rnacentral:rRNA from 1 species
UACGAGGGGUGCAAGCGUUAAUCGGAAUUACUGGGCGUAAAGGGCGCGUAGGCGGCUGAUCAAGUCAGGUGUGAAAGCCCACGGCUUAACCGUGUGAAGCGCAUCUGAAGCUGGUCGGCUUGAGUAUCGGAGAGGAAAGUGGAAUUCCCGGUGUAGAGGUGAAAUUCGUAGAUAUCGGGAGGAAUACCGGUGGCGAAGGCGACUUUCUGGACGAAUACUGACACUGAGGCACGAAAGCGUGGGGAUCAAACAGGAUUAGAUACCCGGGUAGU